GGUCUUAUAUUUUAACAAAAAUAUUAAAUUGCAAGUUUAAAGAUGAUAAAUAAUCUAAGACUU
rnacentral:tRNA from 1 species